GCCGCCCGGCGGCACCUCCGCGCAGACGCGGGGAAACGGAGGCUGGACCCUCAGGUGCCCUUCAGGACUCGUAAUUUCCCCCAGAGGGCAAGGACAGCGGCGGCCUAGCGGCUGGGCUGGCGAGUGGCAGAGGAAAAGGAAGCCUUUCAGAAGUAUGCUGGACUAAUUGAUAACCAUGGUAUUAUCAGGAGUACUCAAAGAAAAUAAGGCUGUUGCAGAGAAGUUCAUAAACUAUUUGAGCUGGUGUUCACCAGUGGAUAUCCUGGAAAUGGAAGGGAUUUUGGAGAGAAUGGAUGAAACUGAUAAAAUAACAGUAAGAAACCACUAGGACCAGAUGGAAAUUGCUAACAGUUCUAGGUCACCCUGAAGAGUGGAUACUGUGUCAAUGUGCAGGAAUGAACCUGGUCUCAAAGCCUAAAAGCACCCUCCUUGCUAAUGAACUCUUUAGCAGACACAUCCUGACCAAGGGGAGAAGACACAUCCACGUGGCAGUUCAUGUGCAGGCAUAACAGCAGAUAAACCCCAAAAUAUUCCAUGGCCCACCAAACAGUAGACAUUUGGCUAGAGGACAUUUUGCCCGGGUGAGCCUCGCAGUGGCUUAAACUGCCAGAAGGGUUUAGGAAUAGUGUCCCAUGUGCUCUGGAGGGUGGGAACUGACAGCACCUGGAGGUGUCCUUGAGAGAUGCAGUGUCCAUGCUCUCUCGUACAGGCAUGUCCUUAGAGCUAAGUACAGUUCUUGACGCUCUGAAUUAUUGGGGAGAAUCUGGUUUGUGCCAGAGAGACAUGCCUAACACUUUUGAAUUUCUGUGCCUGUUUGCCAAAAGCCGAAGCACUCACCUGGUAGUGUGAGUUGUCUCACACUAUGCCUGUGAGUGCUCAGCCUGCGCUCCCUGGCUGUGCUGCAUUUCCGUACUGAGUAUUACCUUCUCCUGCUCCCUGUGGUAUAAGAAGGAAAUGGGGGCCCAUGAGCCAAGAAGGAUCUGCAGCACACUUUCACCAAGUUCCUGAUGUAGACAACUGGACCAGCUGUCCAGGGCUUGGCAAUUUGCUCACAACGUUCAAAGCUUCAGCACCCUUCAUCGUCAAACCUGUCUAAUCCUUCCUUGGCCAGAGAGCACCUCUCCCUUCCCUUCUCCACACGCCUCAAACGAGCUCUACUGACAGCCCUGAGGAGUUAGACAUGGGGGCUGAGGGUAGUGUGGUUUCCAUGUUUGCAUUCUUUCACAGGGAAAAGGUCUUAGAUGGGCUGGGCUCUACCUCUGCUGACAGACACCUUCCUGCAGAGUUGGGAGAGUGAGGGGAAUCACAGAAUUGUCUUAAGUUGGAAAAGACCUUGAAGAUCAUCCAGUCCAACCAUUAACCUAACACUGACAGUCCCAACUACACCAGAUCCCUCAGCGCUAUGUCGACCCUUCUCUUAAACAACUCCAGGGAUGGGGACUCCACCACUGCCCUGGGCAGACCAAGAGAUGGGAAGUGCUUUUCACUUCUCUCUUAUCCUACAAAGUGCCUUGUCCCCGUGCAGAGAAGACAUCCCACCUCUGGGCUUCGUUCACUGCUGCCCCAUACCUGCCUGACACAGAGCCUGGCCGCAGCCGGGCACCGGCAGCCUCACGCUUUGGAUGCGCUGGUGUUCCCGACGCCAAACUGCAGCUGCCUCCUGGCCGUCAGGUUUGAGAAGCAGCUGUCUUUUCUCAGUUUGCUGCCUUUCUUUGCCUGCUGAGGCUCGGUCACCAGCCGUGUCGCAGUCCAGGCCGAGUACUAAGUCAAUUAAAUGUGGAAUCGGCAAAAGGUCAAGUUAAAUGAAACAAAUAAAGCACACGGUCUCAAACACCGGGCUCGUCUGC